GGCAUCCAUGGAUAACAAAUGAAGAGAGUGGAGCAGGAAGCUCCUAGCUAGCUUAGAGUUGAUAUAUGCUUGUAUAGAUGCAUAUACUAUAGAUGGAAUGGAAUCCGUACGCACUGAGUAUCCUAGCAGUUUUUCACUUUUAAUUUAAUUAUGAGGAUGCUUUUUUUUUAUUAGAAGAAGAAGCAAGAUUUUGAAAAGGGGAG
rnacentral:misc_RNA from 1 species